AACGAACGCUGGCGGCAGGCUUAACACAUGCAAGUCGAACGCAUCCUUCGGGGUGUGUGGCAGACGGGUGAGUAACGCGUGGGAACGUGCCCUUCAGUUCGGGAUAACCCAGGGAAACUUGGGCCAAUACCGGAUACGUGCGAGAGCAGAAAGAUUUAUCGCUGAAGGAUCGGCCCGCGUCUGAUUAGCUAGUUGGUGGGGUAAUGGCCCACCAAGGCGACGAUCAGUAGCUGGUCUGAGAGGAUGGUCAGCCACAUUGGGACUGAGACACGGCCCAAACUCGUACGGGAGGCAGCAGUGGGGAAUAUUGGACAAUGGGGGCAAGCCUGAUCCAGCCAUGCCGCGUGAGUGAUGAAGGCCUUGGGGUUGUAAAGCUCUUUCGUCCGGGACGAUAAUGACGGUACCGGAAGAAGAAGCCCCGGCUAACUUCGUGCCAGCAGCCGCCGUAA
rnacentral:rRNA from 1 species